GCAUAGAUCGGUAGCCGGCCUGAGAGGGCACACGGCCACACUGGCACUGAAACACGGGCCAGACUCCUACGGGAGGCAGCAGUGGGGAAUCUUGCACAAUGGGGGAAACCCUGAUGCAGCGACGCCGCGUGAGCGAUGAAGCCCUUCGGGGUGUAAAGCUCUUUCGUCAGGGACGAUAAUGACGGUACCUGGAGAAGCAGCUGCGGCUAACUACGUGCCAGCAGCCGCGGUAAUACGUAGGCAGCAGGCGUUGUUCGGAGUUACUGGGCGUAAAGGGUGUGUAGGCGGUUCUUUAAGUUUGGUGUGAAAUCUCCCGGCUCAACUGGGAGGGUGCGCCGAAUACUGAGGGACUAGAGUACGGGAGAGGAAAGUGGAAUUCCUGGUGUAGCGGUGAAAUGCGUAGAUAUCAGGAGGAACACCGGUGGUGUAGACGGCUUUCUGGACCGUAACUGACGCUGAGACACGAAAGCGUGGGUAGCAAACAGGAUUAGAUACCCUGGUAGUCCACGCCCUAAACGAUGCAUAUUUGGUGUGGGCAGUUCAUUCUGUCCGUGCCGGAGCUAACGCGUUAAAUAUGCCGCCUGGGGAGUACAGUCGCAAGGCUGAAACUCAAAGGAAUUGACGG
rnacentral:rRNA from 1 species